UACGUAGGGGGCAAGCGUUGUCCGGAAUCAUUGGGCGUAAAGCGCGUGUAGGCGGCCAGAAAAGUCCGCUGUGAAAACUCGAGGCUCAACCUCGAGCUGUCGGUGGAAACUUUCUGGCUAGAGUCCGGAAGAGGAGAAUGGAAUUCCUGGUGUAGCGGUGAAAUGCGCAGAUAUCAGGAGGAACACCGGUGGCGAAGGCGGGUCUCUGGGCAGUAACUGACGCUGAGGAGCGAAAGCGUGGGGAGCGAACAGG
rnacentral:rRNA from 1 species